AGGGGCAGCAUGGUCUUAGCUUGCUAAGGCCGAUGGCGACCGGCGCACGGGUGAGUAACACGUAUCCAACCUGCCGUCUACUCUUGGACAGCCUUCUGAAAGGAAGAUUAAUACAAGAUGGCAUCAUGAGUCCGCAUGUUCACAUGAUUAAAGGUAUUCCGGUAGACGAUGGGGAUGCGUUCCAUUAGAUAGUAGGCGGGGUAACGGCCCACCUAGUCUUCGAUGGAUAGGGGUUCUGAGAGGAAGGUCCCCCACAUUGGAACUGAGACACGGUCCAAACUCCUACGGGAGGCAGCAGUGAGGAAUAUUGGUCAAUGGGCGAGAGCCUGAACCAGCCAAGUAGCGUGAAGGAUGACUGCCCUAUGGGUUGUAAACUUCUUUUAUAAAGGAAUAAAGUCGGGUAUGUAUACCCGUUUGCAUGUACUUUAUGAAUAAGGAUCGGCUAACUCCGUGCCAGCAGCCGCGGUAAUACGGAGGAUCCGAGCGUUAUCCGGAUUUAUUGGGUUUAAAGGGAGCGUAGAUGGAUGUUUAAGUCAGUUGUGAAAGUUUGCGGCUCAACCGUAAAAUUGCAGUUGAUACUGGAUAUCUUGAGUGCAGUUGAGGCAGGCGGAAUUCGUGGUUAGC
rnacentral:rRNA from 1 species